UAUGCUAGGUGCUGGGAAGCAAAAAACAGACAAGAUCUCCGGCUUUAUGAUACUUACAGACUAGUGAGGAGUUAACAACUAGUUAAGUUGUUUAUGACUCAGAAAGCUGACCUAGUCAGGGAGUUGGUCUUGGGGAGGCGAGGUUAGAGUUGGGCUGAGAUGUGAAGGCUGAGUAGAAGACAGUCAGAUGAAGGAGGGAAGGUGGAAAGGAAGGUUUGUUCCAUGGCCACACAGAAGAGCCAGCAUGUGUAAAUGCCCUGUGGUGGCAGAGAGGAGGCCCUGCCCACUGCCUGGGAAGAAGAGGUAGUGUGGCCAGAGCUCGCUAUCAGGUGCUGGCUAGUAGGAGAUGAGGCUGGAGAUGUAGGUAAGGGCCAGACCCCAAGAAGAAAUGAAUGCUGUAAAGUGCUUGGGCACUAAAACAGAGGGUGGUGAGUACAACUGAGCCAUUCAGUUGUUGAUUGCAUUAAUGCACAGGUUAGUGAAGACCUGGAUGACUAUUCUAGAAACCUGGCUUCUUAGAGAGAAGAUAGAUGGGAUGUCUAAUGGACAGGUUGUUGUUGUUUAAUCAGGAAGGGGCAGAAUGGAUGUUGAACAUUUCAGACACCUGCACACUCUUCACUUCCUAGCCCUGGCCACAGUAAUAAGAAGCCCGUGAGCCUGGGAAUGUAUUAAGGAAGGAAGGAUGGCUCCUCUCCCUCAAGCCUGUCUGAAAAGGAACAGCUCUCCUCGGGAUUCCACAGUCCCUGGAAAGAGGAGGAUUGUUGCCUGUGGAGGAUUAGCUGGAAUAGGUCUAUAAUGAGCCCGCCCCAAGUCAUUGACAGCACUUUGGCACUUAACCGUAAGGAGCGAGACUGAUUCCCUAGCUCGUGCCUCGCUGGUGUACCUCAAGGCUUCUGAGGCGAACAAUACUAAUAAGUACAUUUUUUUUCUAGCUCUCUGCUGCAUUGAGGCUGACUGAAAGCUUCCCGCCCCUGAGUUGAUAUCUCAGGCCACGCGCAGUUUGCAGCGUUUUCUCAGGCACAGGAUUGAAACCUAAAGCAUGCUUGGGAAAAGCUCCCCUGCCACCCAAUGCCACUUUCAAGAGUAGAGGAACUUUUUCCUCAUAGAGUUGAUCAUAGUUGAUUCCUGCAAAUUACAGCUAAGAAAUGUGAGACCCUACUGCCCUGCCCUGCAGGGUCGUGUCACCUCCAGUCUUGCUGGACCACCACGCUCCCUCUCUCCUUCCUGAUCUGCCCAUAACUCCUACAUUUCGGUUUUCGAUUAUAUUGUUUGUGCAUUUUCUCGGAGGCAUAGGUCUUGGUUCUUCAACAAGAUAAUAACUCGGUAGUAGGCUG